AGAGCGAACGCUGGCGGCAUGCUUAACACAUGCAAGUCGCACGGUUUGGGGGCAACUCCAGGCAGUGGCGGACGGGUGAGUAACGCGUAGGCAUCUAUCCAAGGGUGGGGGACAACCACGGGAAACUGUGGCUAAUACCGCAUGACGACUUUGGCCGAGAGGUUGAGGUCCAAAGGCCGUGAGGUCGCCUAUGGAGGAGCCUGCGUCCGAUUAGCUUGUGGUGGGUAAAGGCCUACCAAGGCGACGAUCGGUAGCUGGUCUGAGAGGAUGAUCAGCCACAUUGGGACUGAGACACGGCCCAAACUCCUACGGGAGGCAGCAGUGGGGAAUAUUGGACAAUGGGCGCAAGCCUGAUCCAGCCAUGCCGCGUGAGUGAUGAAGGCCCUAGGGUUGUAAAGCUCUUUUGUGCGGGAAGAUAAUGACGGUACCGCAAGAAUAAGCCCGGCUAACUUCGUGCCAGCAGCCGC
rnacentral:rRNA from 1 species